rnacentral:rRNA from 1 species
CCCUUAGAUGUCCGGGGCUGCACGCGCGCUACACUGAAGGAAUCAGCGUGCUAAAACCAUUGUCGAAAGGCAUUGGUAAACCCAUUAAAAUCCUACGUGAUUGGAAUCGGGAAUUGCAAUUAUUUCCCUUGAACGAGGAAUUCCCAGUAAGUGUGGGUCAUAAGCUCGCGUUGAUUACGUCCCUGCCCUUUGUACACACCGCCCGUCGCUGCCCGGGACUGAGCCGUUUCGAGAAAAGCGGGGACUGCUGCUGUCGGGGCUUUCGGGCCUUGGCUUCGGUGGAAACCGCUUUAAUCGCAGUGGCUUGAACCGGGCAAAAGUCGUAACA